AGCAUACUCUCAAGGAGGAGGACAAGGAUAAACUCUUUGAGGCCAAACUUCAACAGAUUGAGGAAGCAAAAUCAGCAACUGUUGAAGCAAUAUCAAAGCCGAAAGUUGGAAAUGUAUGUUUGGAGAGGACCUCCAGUCUAUUUGAUAGUAUUUUUGUUUUUUUAUAGCAGCUCCAUGACCUAUUGUCUCCUGUAAUUUUGUUUUUAAGUACUCACUUAUCAAAUUCAAUGUGAUGAAGUUGAACAAUGAACUCUAUUACUUCAUUAUUGUGAUGUUAUAUAUGAAAGGGUCUAUGUAGAGAUCUAUAAGAUAUUCUUCUUUUAGCUA